GUUUGAUGAAAGUUCACUGUUGAAAUCAGUGAUGCUUUAUAUGAUAUUAUGUUCAGUUAUGCAGACUAAUUCUCUGUUUUGUGUGAAAUAGGACCAAGAUGAGGAGGACCAAGAUGAUGAAGAGGAGGGAGAUUCCAAGGUCAGUGUGGAUUUAGAUCAUUACUUUAGAAAAAAAUCUAAAAUCUAGAAAUUACUUCAUUGUCUCUUUGUUCAGUGUUCCUCAGUCUCUUUGUUUUUCUUUGAAUGAAGGUUUGUGGAUUAUUUGCAUGUCUGAUGAUUAAUGAUGAUUGUGGUUGUUCUCUACCUCCUGUUCUGCCCUAGUGACAGGCAUAAGUCAUUCUCACCUCAUACAUUUCUAGGAUGAGGAUUCGGAGUACGCUUUAGCCACAGCCGUUGAAAUCGGUCAUUUCUUCAGGGAAAGAAUCGUUCCGAGAGCAGUUUUGUAUUUCACUGGAGAAGCCCCGGAGGAUGAUGAAAGUACCGGGGAUCCUCAGCCUGCAGAGUGCAAUCAACAGUAGUUUGGAUCACUCACUCCUGCCACUGUCAAACCCCAUCAGCUCACCUAGAAUCAGCCCUGUAGUGCGGCGUACAUUCUCUGAUGAGCACACCAUCCAACAAAACAAAACAUGAUGAUGCAAUACAUUGGUAAACUAGUUUUUUAACCUACAAAAUUUGCUAUACUACAACACUAUUGAUAAAUUGGGCAAUUCCAGAUUACAAUUCCCAGCUUCAGAAUGUAGAUAUAUACAUAAAUAAAUGUAAAACUAUUUUUUAAUUAAUUAUUUAGACAUGUACAGACAUAAUGACUUGAGAUAUGUCAUUGCAUAGCCAAAAAAAAAAAACUUGUAUUCUAACCUUUGUCAAGUUUGUUUGUAUUUAACAAAUAGUUUCUCUUCUCAUUUUUGAAGUGUUCCGUGUCAUGAGCAUAACCAUUUUUUAUGCAGUAUAUCCAUUUAUGUACUUUUUAUGCACUUAUUUAUGGAAUGUGCUAGCUAGCUAGCCAGUCCAACUAAUGUAUCUGCGAUAUCUUGCAGGCAUCAAUUAAUUGUGUUUAAUCAUAUCCGGCCUCUUUGCAAUAUAAAUAUCUAACAUUUCCAUCUUCAUUCGACUUUCUCUUUGAAUGUCGUAAUUAAAAAAUAAUAAUAAUCUCUGCACUCCUCUACAUGAGUAUGCUCAGUCGAUGUAGUCUCAUUUUAUAUAUAUAUAUAUAUAUAUAUAUAUAUAUAUAAAUGUAUUUCGGUAUACGUUAUAUCCAUAAUGCUGGAAUUGCUCAAUUUAGAUCGUAUUUAAAGACGAUAUGGCAAGUCCACUACCAAUGGUCACUGAAUUCUGAGUGAAUAAUAAUAAUCUCUGCACUCCUCUACAUGAGUAUGCUCAGUCGAUGUAGUCUCAUUUUAUAUAUACAGUGGGUACGGAAAGUAUUCAGACCCCCUUAAAUUUGUCACUCUUUGUUAUAUUGCAGCCAUUUGCUAAAAU
ensembl:lncRNA